rnacentral:rRNA from 1 species
GAUGAACGCUGGCGGCGUGCCUAAUACAUGCAAGUCGAGCGAACAGACGAGGAGCUUGCUCCUCUGACGUUAGCGGCGGACGGGUGAGUAACACGUGGAUAACCUACCUAUAAGACUGGGAUAACUUCGGGAAACCGGAGCUAAUACCGGAUAAUAUAUUGAACCGCAUGGUUCAAUAGUGAAAUACGGUUUUGCUGUCACUUAUAGAUGGAUCCGCGCCGCAUUAGCUAGUUGGUAAGGUAACGGCUUACCAAGGCAACGAUGCGUAGCCGACCUGAGAGGGUGAUCGGCCACACUGGAACUGAGACACGGUCCAGACUCCUACGGGAGGAAGCAGUAGGGAAUCUUCCGCAAUGGGCGAAAGCUUGACGGAGCAACGCCGCGUGAGUGAUGAAGGUCUUCGGAUCGUAAAACUCUGUUAUUAGGGAAGAACAAAUGUGUAAGUAACUAUGCACGUCUUGACGGUACCUAAUCAGAAAGCCACGGCUAACUACGUG